UACAGGGGGUGCAAACGUUGCUCGGAAUCAUUGGGCGUAAAGCGCACGUAGGCGGUUCGUUAUGUCGGAUGUGAAAGCCCUUGGCUUAACCGAGGAAGUGCAUCCGAAACUGGCGAGCUAGAGUACGAAAGAGGAUCGCGGAAUUCCCGGUGUAGAGGUGAAAUGCGCAGAUAUCAGGAAGAACACCCGUGGCGAAAGCGGCUCUCUGGAACGGUACUGACGCUGAGGAGCGAAAGCGUGGGGAGCGAACAGG
rnacentral:rRNA from 1 species